GGUUAAGCGACUAAGCGUACACGGUGGAUGCCCUGGCAGUCAGAGGCGAUGAAGGGCGUGCUAAUCUGCGAUAAGCGCCGGUAAGGUGAUAUGAACCGUUAUAACCGGCGAUACCCGAAUGGGGAAACCCAGUGUGAUUCGUCACACUAUCAUUAACUGAAUCCAUAGGUUAAUGAGGCGAACCGGGGGA
rnacentral:rRNA from 1 species